CCCCUAGAUGUUCUGGGCCGCACGCGCGCUACACUGAACAGUUCAACAAGUCUUAACCUUGGCCGAUAGGUCUGGGUAAUCUUUGAACGCUGUUCGUGAUUGGGAUAGACCUUUGCAAUUAUGGGUCUUCAACGAGGAAUUCCUAGUAAACGCAAGUCAUCAGCUUGCAUUGAUUACGUCCCUGCCCUUUGUACACACCGCCCGUCGCACCUACCGAUUGAAUGGUCCGGUGAAGCCUCGGGAUUGUGGCUGGUUUCCUUUAUUGGAGGUCGGUCGCGAGAACUUGUCUAAACCUUAUCAUUUAGAGGAAGGUGANGUCGUAACA
rnacentral:rRNA from 1 species